rnacentral:rRNA from 1 species
UACGGAGGGUGCAAGCGUUGUCCGGAUUUAUUGGGUUUAAAGGGUGCGUAGGCGGCCCGUUAAGUCAGUGGUGAAAGCCUCCAGCUCAACUGGAGAACUGCCAUUGAUACUGACGGGCUUGAGUACAGACGAGGUAGGCGGAAUUGAUUGUGUAGCGGUGAAAUGCAUAGAUACAAUCAAGAACACCGAUUGCGUAGGCAGCUUACUAAGGAGUAACUGACGCUGAGGCACGAAAGUGUGGGGAUCAAACAGG